ensembl:lncRNA
UUUUUUUUUUUUUUUUUUUUGAGACGGAGUCUCGCUCUGUUGCCCAGGCUGGAGUGCAGUGGCCGGAUCUCAGCUCACUGCAAGCUCCGCCUCCCGGGUUCACGCCAUUCUCCGGCCUCAGCCUCCCGAGUAGCUGGGACUACAGGCGCCCAUCACCUCGCCUGGCUAGUUUUUUUUGUAUUUCUUAAUAGAGACGGGGUUUCACCGUGUUAGCCAGGAUGGUCUCGAUCUCCUGACCUCGUGAUCCGCCCAUCUCGGCCUCCCAAAGUGCUGGGAUUACAGGCUUGAGCCACCGCGCCCGGCCCAGAGCACACUCUUUACCUUCCUCUUUACUCUGCCUAUCUAUUCCUCCUGCUUCCUUGGAUACCUCAUACAAUCAUCCCUCUCCUUCCACUAGCUCCUAAUGACCUCUACAAGACUCUCAACUUAACCCACUCUCUGUUCAAGCAGUCCAAUCCUUCCCUGACAAAUGACUGUUGGCUUUCUAUCUCUCUAUCAACUUCUGCUUACGUUGCCACUCCCAUUCCCGCAAAAAAUACUGGGUCCUUACCAACUUAACCUACCACCCUCGUUAUGAAGGAAAAGACCCUUUCCGACUUCUAAAUCUGCAAUCAUUAGCUGACUUCCCCAUCUCUGAUAGGACCAAGAAUACCGUAACAGGACGUGCAAUCCAACUUUUGCAUUCUUACAUUUCCAACCUCACCUAAUACAUAAGCAAUGAAAAGCCCACACACAGCCCUGUAACUAUGAAUACCAUCUUAACUUUUCAAGCCCCUUUAUGCAUCCAACACAAUCUGUUAUCAGGCCUGCCCCUGGGGCACCUACUACCCAUCAGUGUAAUUACACCCUACAACUUCAAGCCCCAACUGAUCAUGGUAACUUCCGAGUCACCCAAACAGCUCCAUUCAGAUGUCUUGUCCACUUCUCAGGGCCCCAAAAAAUCAUCACCUCCUCCCUGCUUAACAAACAGUCCAGGUUUUGUAAUGGCAAACAUACUACCUGCAUGACCAUCCACCCCUGGACUCCCUGCAGCAGCGUCCCCAUCACUAGUGAAAGCCUUCUCAUCCCCUCUUUUAAUCACUCUCUCAAAUGGUUCCUAGUAGAUACAAAAUGGUUUUAUCUUCCAAUGGGAAAAUAGAACACAGGGAGCCACUCAGUUUGCUCCCAACACCCCUUUCCAGCUGCUCACUGGAGCUACCUUGGCAAGUACUCUAGGAGUAUGGGAAAAUGAAAACAACAAACUCACUCACCUUUUUGACAUACACAACCAGUUCUGUCUACCCAGCCAAGGUAUAUUCUUCUUAUGUGGAAUGUCGACCUGUAUCUGCCUCCCCACUAACUGGACAGGCACCUGCACCAUAGUCUUUCUAAGUCCCAACAUUAACAUUGCCCCAGGAAAUCAGACCCUAUCAGUACCCCUCAAAGCUCAAGUCCAUCAGUGCAGAGCCACACAAGUAAUACCCCUACUUAUAGGGUUAGGAAUGGCUACUGCUACAGGAACCAGAAUAGCCAGUUUAUCUAUUCAUUAUCCUACUGCCACAUACUCUCAAAGGAUUUCUCAGAUAGUUUGCAAGAAAUAACGAAAUCUAUCCUUACUCUAUAAUCCCAAAUAGACUCUUUGGCAGCAGUGAAUCUCCAAAACCUCUGAGGCCUAGACCUCCUCACUGCUGAGAAAGAAGGACUCUGCACCUCUUAGGGGAAGAGUGUUGUUUUCACACUAACCAGUCAGGGAUAGUACGAGAUGCCACCCAGCAUUUACAGGAAAAGGCUUCUGAAAUCAGACAAUGCCUUUCAAACUCAUACCAACCUCUGGAGUUGGGCAACAUGGCUUCUCCCCUUUCUAGGUCCUGUGACAGCCAUCUUGCUAUUACUC